rnacentral:lncRNA from 1 species
AUUUUCUGGUGAUACCAGUACGGUCAACAUCGGAUGCCAGUAACAGACAAGAGUGAUUGAGAAAUAUAUAUCAGAAUCAUUAAUCUUCGCCAACUACGAACAUGAAGACUAUCCUCCUUAUUGCCUUGUUGUUCUCAGCCAUCCUUUCAACAACUCAAGCUCUUAGUUGUCUCCCAUGUCCCCAAGUAACUUGCCGUUUACCAUCCGAGCUUAACUGCAAAGGAGGACUAGCGCGAGACCCUUGUGGUUGUUGUGAUGAGUGUGCAAAGGUCGAAGGAGAGGAAUGUGGAGGACCAUGGCACUUAGCUGGCUUCUGCGACACUGGUUUGAAAUGUGUUUACAAAGGUGGCAAUGAACACAAUAUCAAUGCUGUUGGGCUAUGCAAAAAAUCAAGGAAAUUGUUCAAGGUUACAAGCUAAAUGAGGAGCAACAAGAAUGCAAAAAUGCUUUGAAGAAGCUCUUGAACAGUUUUUAUUUAACCAGGUCUCAUUAUAACAUU